CGGCUCCAUCGAGGCCUCCCUCGGCCUCCCCGUGCCCGACCGCUCGCUCCGCGCCAAGCUCGCCGCCUCUGAGGACCUGCGCCGCCGCCUCCAGGACCGCGUCUUCGUGCUCGAGGAGGACCUCCACGCCGCCGCCCGCCGCAUCGACCUCCUCAGGAACGAGUCGGCGAUGAACGAGGAGGGGAUCUACGAGCGGCCGUGGCGGCCGCGCGCGACCAGCUCGCCGCCCACGCCGCCAGGCUCGAGAAGGAGUGCGGCCUCUACGAGCGUGACCUGGAGCGCGCCAUGGAGUCCUGCGACGAGCUCGCCAGGGAGAGCGACGACCUGCGCAAGCGCCUGCGGGACGCCCCCGACGUUACCACACUGAACAAUGAAGUGGAAGCCCUGCAGAGGGACAAGGAGAUACUGAGGACCAAUCUAAACAAAGCAGAGGAGGAAACCCUACCGCCGCAGAAGCAGCCAUGUGUAUCGACCUCGUUGCCGGUGGGAGGAACAAGAGGACCAAGCGCGUCGCGCCCAAGUCCGACGAUGUCUACCUCAAGCUCCUCGUCAAGCUCUACCGUUUCCUGGCGAGGACCAAAUCAAGUUCAACGUCGUCAUCCUCAAGAGGCUCUUCAUGAGCAAGACUAACCGCCCGCCGCUCUCCAUGCGCCGCCUCUCCAACUUCAUGAAGGGAAAGAAGGGAUCUGGAUAGGUUGCAACUGGGAGUAAAAUAUGCGUCCAAACUGAUCGUCUGGUGCGAAAAUCGACGACCAAGAUCCACUUCAGCUUGGUAGUGACCUGUGAGAGAUCUGUGGUGGUAAGCGGCACGUGUCUGAUCCCUGGGCAUCGGUUCAUUUUUGAUGUUUGAUCCUGGCUGUCGGUUGCCUGUCGGGAUGGCGGAUUCUUUUCGGUUGUUAUGGUAGGGAACCCCUUCGUCCCUAACUUCAGUAUGCAAACUGAUUAUCUAUCUUUUGCAAGCUGAUUAUCUAUCUAGAAAAUGUUGCAGUUGUGGUACUACAUGAUCUUACUAAUGCUGUCUUUUUUUUACUCUUGUAAACCGAGCCCUUGCGUUGCGUCUGCAAGAAGUAGUGCUACUGCUUGUUCAUAAUGGCUGAUUGCUUACUGAAUCUUGUUUUGCAAACUGAGAAGAUUUAGAAUGAUGCAUUUCCGCUGCUAGUGAUUUCUUCAGUCUGACCUGAUUAAGGCUCAAGAAGUUGGAAAAAGGGAACGCUUCAUCUUUGUAGCUAAUUAUAUGUUCCAAAGGGACAACAAAUAAGUUUGUUCCCAUGCAUUAACAAAAUUCCUUUUAUUAUAUUGCAAAAUAAACGGGCGCAGCAACGCCCGCCAUCAUGAUCUAGUUCACACUUUUGCAUGUACAGACCAUUUAGUGACGCUACAGCAUCACUUGUUAGGGAUAGCAAAAUUCUCAUUCCCUGUAGGGUCAUAUCUAGGUGUCUCAAACAUCAUAGUGGUAUUUCGCUUGGAUGUUUCUGAAAAUCGUCUUGAAGUUAGAAGAAUUAACGGUGGAAGAACAUGAAAAUGUAAUACAUCUAUUCAACAUAUUCAACUGGGCUCCUCGCAGGAUUGGUCA